UACCACGCGAGUGGAUGCCAAUCCCUAAAACCCCUCUCAGUUCGGACUGGAGUCUGCAACCCGACCCCACGAAGCUGGAUUCGCUAGUAAUCGCGCAUCAGCCACGGCGCGGUGAAUACGUUCCCGGGCCUUGUACACACCGCCCGUCAAGCCAUGGGAGCCGGGGUACCUGAAGUGCGUAACCGCGAGGAUCGCCCUAGGGUAAAACUGGUGACUGGGCUAAGUCGUAACAAGGUACC
rnacentral:rRNA from 1 species